ACCAGUCUGUCCUCUGUCUCUGAAGAAGCUGAGUCCUGGAGCCUGUGGUGUUAAUUCCAAAGAAUAUGAAAGGACUGGUGAAUUACAUCUGUGUUUUGAAUCUGUUAAGAUCCAGUAUGAGAGAACAGCAUCAUACUGAGGAAACAGAAGUGAAAUUAUUCAGCCUCUCUAGAGCUAAGAGAGUUGAGAUUUUUGUCUCUGGUGCUUCAGCAGCCCUCCCAGUGGGGGAAACGUAUACAGAGCUCUGCUCCUGCAAACACCACAGCACCCCUGGCAAAGACAUACACAAGCACCUGAAGAAUCAGGACUAGACUUUACUAAGCUCAAACACACAGAGUCACAUGAGUGAGCCAGAGGAAUAAAUAAUGAAAUGAAUAUGAAGUGUUUGUCAAAGGAAAAAAAUUCUCUUUGGGCUUAUAUUCCUGCUUUUUGUUU